GGAUCCGUACCGCAAUGGUAGCACGUCUGACUCCAGAUUAGAAGGUUGCAUGUUCGAUUCACGUCGGAUUCA
rfam:Nelumbo nucifera unplaced genomic scaffold scaffold00032, whole genome shotgun sequence